ACAACCUCUGAGUUGGACAUUGGAAACACUGACAAUGGUCAACAGUGUUUCCAAUGUCCAACUCAGAGGUUGU